rnacentral:rRNA from 1 species
AACGAACGCUGGCGGCAGGCCUAACACAUGCAAGUCGAGCGAGGACUUCGGUCCUAGCGGCGGACGGGUGAGUAACGCGUGGGAACGUGCCCUUUGCCUCGGAAUACUCCUGGGACACUGGGAGUAAUACCGGAUGAGUUCUUCGGGGGCAAGAUUGAUCGGCGAAGGAUCGGCCCGCGUUGGAUUAGGUGGGUGGGGGGGUAAUGGCCUACCACGCCUACGCUCCAUAGCUGGUUUGAGAGGAUGAGCAGCCACACUGGGACUGAGACACGGCCCAGACUCCUGCGGGAGGGAGCAGUGGGGAAUCUUAGACAAUGGGGGAAGCCCUGAUCUAGCCAUGCCGGGUGAGCGAUGAAGGCCUUAGGGUUGUAAAGCUCUUUCAGCUGGGAAGAUAAUGACGGUACCAGCAGAAGAAGCCCCGGCUAACUCCGUG